UAGCCCGUGUAAACCUUUCGUUAUUCCGCAGUUCUCUCCUCUUGCUUCUACGCACGGUGUGUGUUGGUGUUGUGGAGUCGCCGAGGUUUUGUGUCAACGAUUUGGGGGGCGUCCGAGUCAGAGCGAUGGUUGUUGUUGGGGUCCAGACUAGAGCAAGCGGCGGGGACCACCGGCGCUAGGAGUCGUUCCAGAUUUUCUUUCCCAUUCUUCAUCGUGAGCAAUAUUUCCUUAUUUGUUUUGAUUUUCGACGUUAUCAUUUUGGAGAUUAUAGACAACGCUUCGGCUCCAACAGUGAAGAAGCAGAAGUAUGGAGAAUCGUUGGAAGAUAUGCAGGAUAUGCUUUCCGAAUUCUAUAACAAGGUUCAUAACGGGAGGUCGAUUUUGUGUGCUGGGUUGGUCCCUAAGCGUAUGCAGAUGCCUUGACGUGAUUCGAAUAAUAAGACUGAUUGUAUGGUGUAUCGAUGCGCCACAUAGAGUCGUUUGUUGGUCGAGGGGUUUCUGACUGGGAUUGCGGUCUUAUUAAGGGAGACUAUAGUACCCUACACAAGCUGAGGUUGCAGUACAUGAAGGAGCUUGUGGUGUCGGAGUACAAUCUGCAUAGAGCGAGGAACUUGCGUCGGGCAUAUCAUUCGAUCGGUGGCCCCCUAGCUUCUUGAUUGGCUUCAUGUUUCUACUUUGUUAUGUCUAGAAGUUGGGGUUAGACUUUUUGUUGGGUUAGUGGUGGCCUCUGCACACUAUUAAUUCUGAUAUUUGUAUUUUUUUUUUUUUUUGGCAUGGAGUGCAUGUGUUGUUUUUGAAUUGUUUUUCUAUUUCGUGGUCUUUUGGAUAUUCGGGUCUUUUUUGCUAGGUUCAUUUAACUAUUGGGUGAUCAAUUUUUUUUGGUAGCCACAGUACUUAUUAAUGAUAUACAUUUAUUAUUUUCAA